rnacentral:sRNA from 1 species
UUGCCGGCCUGGCCCUUGUGCCCAUCAUUGUUGCUCGGACACGGGUGCCAGCCAAAAAGUUGGAGUGAAAAGACCCUGGCACCCGCCCGACACCUGCGUGAGCCCUAGGAUCCAGGUCAUCCCUCACCUCUGACCCAGCUCCAUGCCAGAGCAGGAGCCCUGGUCGGUUUUGGACUCUGCACCCGCUCUCCUCUUCAGGGGCCAGACUUGGUAGCAUGUGCACCAGCUCUUUUUUUAGGCUUCUGCCACCACAAAAUGUUACUUGGAAAACUAGAUCCCAGCAGAUGACCUGUACUUCUCUGUUCUCUCCCCUACUGCAAAGAGGCAGCGAGGGCAGCAUUAGUAAGCCUGACUCAGGGGAAGUAAGUAGCCUGCAGAGAAAGGGUCCUAGGUCCGCAACCGAGGCGAGUGAACUUGUCGGACAGAUGAAGACUCUAACUGGAAGAAACGAUCAGCGCAUUCAUGGAUGCACCACCAUCCAGAAAUCUCCCAGUGGCUUCCAUACAAAAACUGAUGUUUCUAAAGAUGGAAAGAACAGGUCUAGGAGGCAGGAGAGUAUCUCCUGGCAGUGUUCUGUAGCUCAAAGAUCAGGAGCACGUCUUUGAAUUCCUCGCAGACGAUGUAUCCAUCAGUCCUGUGGGGACACAACGUGAUGUCAACCCUCAAGCCUGCUGCCUGCUCUGCCUCUCCUCCCUCCCGUUUGCGGAAGACAGUGGGCCACAUCUGAGCACCAGGGGUCCUGAAGGAUGUCCCGGGUCAGCCAGUGUCCCACACCCUCUGUGCAGAAGGGAGGCCUGUGGAAACUGGCACUGCCUCUUCCUCCCCAGAUUCUGCUUAAGAAAGCUGGGGUGAAAGCCCCUAUCCAGCCUCGCCCAUCACAGAA